AUCUCCUCCUCUCCACCUCUCCUCUUUACACAUCUCCGUGUCUGUGCUGUCACCAGGGGCAGGUUGCUGGAAGGAGGGGCCCUUUCUCUAUGGAUUUCCACCGGUUCCUUGUGGCCAUCCUGCUCCCUGUGGGCUGGGCCCUUCAGCAAUCACCAGACACAGUUGUCCGGGUGGGAGACACCGUGACUCUGGAAUGUUCUGCAUCAGGGAAACUUUUCAUAAACUUGUACUGGUACAAGUUACCCAUGGAGAAGGAUGCCAGAUUGCAGCUGGUUUUGUAUUCAUUGGAAGGUGUCAAAGCUGAUAUUGAGAAGGAAUUCCAAAAUCGCUUCCAGAGUAAUGGCACUAAGAACAACCAUUUAUCUGUGAAGAUUCAGCAUGCCCUACUCAAUGACACAGGCACAUAUUUCUGUGCUGAACAAGAUCCACAAGCAGAGGUUUUUCUGCACCUGCAAAACGGUGUGAAUACUGAGCAAUUGUCCUUUGGCAGUGGGACAAAACUUACGGUCAUAGGGAAGAAUGAGAAAAUCAUACCUCCAGCUGUGGCCAUCUUUUCCCCAUCAAAGCAGGAGAUCCAGCAGAAGAGCAAGGCCACGCUGGUGUGCCUGGCCUCUGGUUUCUACCCUGACCACCUGACUCUGGUCUGGAGGGUGAACGGCGUGAAAAGAACCGAGGGGGUGGGGACAGACGAGUCCUCCACACGGAAUGGGAGCACCUACUCACUGACCAGCCGGCUGAGGAUGCCAGCCUGGGAGUGGUUCAACCCUUCCAAUCGCUUCGAAUGCAUUGCCAAUUUUUUUCAGAAUGGAACAACGCAAUCAAUGAACAAAUUUAUCUAUGGUGAUGUUGGUUGUGCACUCACAGAAGAGUCGUACUUGCGGUAUGGAAAUUCUCUGAAGCUCACGUACCUCAUCCUCUGUGGCAAAGCCUUGGUCUAUGCGGUUCUGGUGAGUGGUCUGGUGUGGACGGCCAAGACUGGUACCAAAUUAUCUAGAGAAUAAAAGAAGAGCAUUUGUCAUCACAUCAGCAGGAACACAGCAAGUUCUCUGCCUUUCCAUAGGAAAGCGUCUAUGCUUCUAGGAACUUCUGAAUAUAAUUGUUUUAUAAUCAUCUGUUGCCAUCCUGUUCUUCACUGUGUUGUAAUCACUCCUGAGCUUUCCCUGGUACUUCCAUAUCAUAGUGUAUUAUAUUUUAUUGUAAUGUAUCUUUAAAACUAGCACCUUCUUAAUGCUCAGUGGCUAAGAACUCAUCUCUUUGAUUCAGCAAUAAAGUUUUCACUUCUUUU